UGCACCGAAGCUGCGGCAGCGACACUCAGGUGUUGUUGGGUAGGGGAGCGUUCUGUAAGCCUGCGAAGGUGGCCUGUGAGGGUUGCUGGAGGUAUCAGAAGUGCGAAUGCUGACAUAAGUAACGAUAAAGCGGGUGAAAAGCCCGCUCGCCGGAAGACCAAGGGUUCCUGUCCAACGUUAAUCGGGGCAGGGUGAGUCGACCCCUAAGGCGAGGCCGAAAGGCGUAGUCGAUGGGAAACGGGUUAAUAUUCCCGUACUUGGUGUUACUGCGAAGGGGGGACGGAGAAGGCUAUGUUGGCCGGGCGACGGUUGUCCCGGUUUAAGCGUGUAGGUGUGUGUUCCAGGUAAAUCCGGUUCACUUUAACACUGAGGCGUGACGACGAGGCACUACGGUGCUGAAGCAACAAAUGCCCUGCUUCCAGGAAAAGCCUCUAAGCAUCAGGUAACAUCAAAUCGUACCCCAAACCGACACAGGUGGUCAGGUAGAGAAUACCAAGGCGCUUGAGAGAACUCGGGUGAAGGAACUAGGCAAAAUGGUGCCGUAACUUCGGGAGAAGGCACGCUGACACGUAGGUGAAGUGAUUUACUCAUGGAGCUGAAGUCAGUCGAAGAUACCAGCUGGCUGCAACUGUUUAUUAAAAACACAGCACUGUGCAAACACGAAAGUGGACGUAUACGGUGUGACGCCUGCCCGGUGCCGGAAGGUUAAUUGAUGGGGUCAGCGCAAGCGAAGCUCCUGAUCGAAGCCCCGGUAAACGGCGGCCGUAACUAUAACGGUCCUAAGGUAGCGAAAUUCCUUGUCGGGUAAGUUCCGACCUGCACGAAUGGCGUAAUGAUGGCCAGGCUGUCUCCACCCGAGACUCAGUGAAAUUGAACUCGCUGUGAAGAUGCAGUGUACCCGCGGCAAGACGGAAAGACCCCGUGAACCUUUACUAUAGCUUGACACUGAACAUUGAGCCUUGAUGUGUAGGAUAGGUGGGAGGCUUUGAAGUGUGGACGCCAGUCUGCAUGGAGCCGACCUUGAAAUACCACCCUUUAAUGUUUGAUGUUCUAACGUGGACCCGUAAUCCGGGUUGCGGACAGUGUCUGGUGGGUAGUUUGACUGGGGCGGUCUCCUCCUAAAGAGUAACGGAGGAGCACGAAGGUUGGCUAAUCCUGGUCGGACAUCAGGAGGUUAGUGCAAUGGCAUAAGCCAGCUUGACUGCGAGCGUGACGGCGCGAGCAGGUGCGAAAGCAGGUCAUAGUGAUCCGGUGGUUCUGAAUGGAAGGGCCAUCGCUCAACGGAUAAAAGGUACUCCGGGGAUAACAGGCUGAUACCGCCCAAGAGUUCAUAUCGACGGCGGUGUUUGGCACCUCGAUGUCGGCUCAUCACAUCCUGGGGCUGAAGUAGGUCCCAAGGGUAUGGCUGUUCGCCAUUUAAAGUGGUACGCGAGCUGGGUUUAGAACGUCGUGAGACAGUUCGGUCCCUAUCUGCCGUGGGCGCUGGAGAACUGAGGGGGGCUGCUCCUAGUACGAGAGGACCGGAGUGGACGCAUCACUGGUGUUCGGGUUGUCAUGCCAAUGGCACUGCCCGGUAGCUAAAUGCGGAAGAGAUAAGUGCUGAAAGCAUCUAAGCACGAAACUUGCCCCGAGAUGAGUUCUCCCUGAGACUUAGAGUCUCCUGAAGGAACGUUGAAGACGACGACGUUGAUAGGCCGGGUGUGUAAGCGCAGCGAUGCGUUGAGCUAACCGGUACUAAUGAACCGUGAGGCUUAACCUUACAACGCCGAA
rnacentral:rRNA from 1 species